GAUGAACGCUGGCGGCGUGCCUAAUACAUGCAAGUCGAGCGAACGGACGAGAAGCUUGCUUCUCUGAUGUUAGCGGCGGACGGGUGAGUAACACGUGGAUAACCUACCUAUAAGACUGGGAUAACUUCGGGAAACCGUAGCUAAUACCGGAUAAUAUUUUGAACCGCAUGGUUCAAAAGUGAAAGACGGUCUUGCUGUCACUUAUAGAUGGAUCCGCGCUGCAUUAGCUAGUUGGUAAGGUAACGGCUUACCAAGGCAACGAUGCAUAGCCGACCUGAGAGGGUGAUCGGCCACACUGGAACUGAGACACGGUCCAGACUCCUACGGGAGGCAGCAGUAGGGAAGUUUCCGGAAUGGGCGAAAGCCUGACGGAGCAACGCCGCGUGAGUGAUGAAGGUCUUCGGAUCGUAAAACUCUGUUAUUAGGGAAGAACAUAUGUGUAAGUAAAUGUGCACAUCUUGACGGUACCUAAUCAGAAAGCCACGGCUAACUACGUG
rnacentral:rRNA from 1 species